rnacentral:rRNA from 1 species
UACGUAGGGGGCGAGCGUUGUCCGGAUUUAUUGGGCGUAAAGAGCGUGUAGGCGGCCAGGUAGGUCUGCUGUGAAAACUCGAGGCUCAACCUCGAGACGUCGGUUGAAACCGUAAGGCUAGAGUCCGGAAGAGGAGAGUGGAAUUCCCGGUGUAGCGGUGAAAUGCGCAGAUAUCGGGAAGAACACCCGUGGCGAAGGCGGCUCUCUGGGACGGUACUGACGCUGAGACGCGAAAGCGUGGGGAGCGAACGAGG